UAGGUUGCGUCCACCGGCUUCCCAGGCCUGACGCGCGUGGGCUCCUGGCUCCGGGUCCACAGUCGGGAGGUCGCGGCCGCGUGCCGGGAGCCUUGUCCCUGAGGACGCUCCCCGCCAACCCCAGCCCUAACCCCGACCCCGCGGCCCCCGCCGCUUCUCCCGCGGUGGCAGCCCCUGGGGAACCAGCCACGUGCUGCCCGCCCAGGUCGCGCCGCGCCGCCAGGCCCGCCGGAGCCCCGUGUGUUCGUUCCCUCCGCACGCAAGCUGGGUGGCCUGAAACGACAACCGCCUGUUACCUCGAGGCUUCCGUGGGCCUGCAGGCCGGGCUUAGCUGGGACUUCAGCUCAGGGCGGCCGUCGUGGUCUUACUUGGACGCUGGACGGGGAAGGAUCAUUUCCCGAAUUGUCACUUCAGAGUGCUGUGUGGAGCAAGUCGCCCUGGAGGUCACCUGCUGAGAGGCCUCUCUGACUCUGAGAGAGUCUCUGGCUCCCCCGGCGGGUGUGCCUUUCAGCAGCGCUUCCUUCCUGUGGCUGAGCUGUCUCCCCUGACGCCCAUGGACCCAGCUAAACGCUUCAUCAUUGAAGGACAUCAGGACUGCUUCCCAGGUUUUGGCUAAAACAAGUAAAGCUUCUCCGAACCUGCACGAGCAGAAACAGGGUUUGUUAUGUUGCCCAGGCCGA